CCUACGGGCGGCAGCAGUGAGGAAUAUUGGUCAAUGGCCGGAAGGCUGAACCAGCCAUGCCGCGUGAAGGUCAGUGCCCUAUGGGCGUUAAACUUCUUUUGUGCGGGAGCAAUAAUGGUCACGUGUGGCCAGACGAGAGUACCGUACGAAUAAGCAUCGGCUAACUCCGUGCCAGCAGCCGCGGUAAUACGGGGGAUGCAAGCGUUUUCCGGAUUUAUUGGGUUCAAAGGGUGCGUAGGCUGUGAGGGAAGUCAGCGGUGAAAUGCCCCCGCUCAACGGGGUGAAGUGCCAUUGAUACUGCCUGGCUGGAAUGCGGAUGCCGUGGGAGGAAUGUGUGGUGUAGCGGUGAAAUGCAUAGAUAUCACACAGAACACCGAUUGCGAAGGCAUCUCACGAAUCCGCGAUUGACGCUGAUGCACGAAAGCGUGGGUAUCAAACAGGAUUAGAUACCCUUGUAGUC
rnacentral:rRNA from 1 species